rnacentral:lncRNA from 1 species
CCUUGGUCAUACAAAGGUUAUUCCUUUAAUCUUUACCUACCAUUCCAGAAGACAUAGAUAAGAAGUUACAGUCGUUAGUGUGCUGUUUACAGGGAAAGAGGCAGUAAUCCAUCUGAAUGUUAAAACAGAGUAUCUCUGAGAGCCUUCCACAGAAAUAUGUGGAUCAUUUACCUGGAACUGCUGGUCAAAGAGGAAAAAAGACAUUAAAUGGACAAGUAGAAGGUAAGAACUGUAUUUUACAGAAAAAUCAUUUGAAAAAAUGUUGAUUGAAAUUGGGAAUGCUGACACAUUCUAAUAGGCACAGAAAAUCACCUGUCGGAUGAGUAGUGAGAAAAAAGAUGAGAAAAGGAGGGCAAUUAUGUAUCUUAUCAGGUGUCUACCACAGAUUACAUUGAGAAUCCAGUUUAAGGAACUAAAUUAUUAGUUCUUAGACUUACUUCACAGUCCAAUGUUUAAGACCUUGUCCGGUUAAGACUCUCCAAUGAAGGUGGUGCAGUUUCGAUCCCUGCUCAGGGAAUUAAGAUUCCAUGUAACACAUGACCAAAAACAAAUCAUUAAUUCGGUUUCAAGAUACUCUAUGACCUAAGGAAAGUUAAGAAAUAAGAGGGAAGAGGGAAUGGAGGAUGAGAGAGGCAGAGGGUACAGGGAAGAAAUGAAGAAAAGGAAGCACAGGUCUGUGGGGGAAGGGGGCAAUAAGUAAUGAAGGUCUUUAGAUAAAG